GACGAACGCUGGCGGCGUGCUUAACACAUGCAAGUCGAACGGAACGGCCCCCACCUUGGUGGGGGUGCUCGAGUGGCGAACGGGUGAGUAACACGUGGUUGAUCUGCCCUGUACUUCGGGAUAAGCUUGGGAAACUGGGUCUAAUACCGGAUAGGACCAUGGUUUAGUGUCUCCUGGUGGAAAAAUUAUUGUUUUGUUGCAGGAUGGGCUCGCGGCCUAUCAGUGUGUUGGUGGGGUAAUAGCCUACCAAGGCGUCGACGGGUAGCCGGCCUGCGCGGGUGGACGGCCAGAUUGGGACGGAGGUACGGCCCAGACUGCUACGGGAGGCAGCAGAGGGGAAUAUGGCACAAUGGGGGGAAGCAUGAUGCAGCGACGCCGCGUGGGGGAUGAAGGCCUUCGGGGUGUAAACUCCUUUCGUUAGGGACGAAGCCACACCUUUUCUGGGUGUGGUGACGGUACAUUUGUUAAGAAGCACCGGCUAACUACGUGC
rnacentral:rRNA from 1 species